GGAGGUGGUGCUCACCUGACGUCACGGGAUCUGCUCCGACUUAAAAACACAAGUUGAGUAGAGUAGGCUAUAUAUUGAGAUACAAUUGAUCAGGUUUGAGUCAGAAAUCUUUCAUCAUGUCCUUUGAUCUGAGAUCAGCUCUUGGAGAUGGGGUGAAGAGUUUUGUAGGCAACGAGGUGCAGGGGAUAUUUGGGUUUGGAAAACAUAAGGAUCACGAACAUGGGCAUGGACACGGUCAUCAGCAGCAUGGAUUCGGGCACGGUCAGCAGCAGCAUGGAUACGGGCACGGUCUUCAGCC